rnacentral:lncRNA from 1 species
GUUGAAUCCCGGCGAGUACCAGGAAAAGGUGGAAUCCGUGCGAGUACCUUAAAACUGUCCGGACGAGUACCGAAAAAUGGUAGAAUCAGUGUGAGUACCGAAAAAUUGUUGAAUCCGGGCGAGUAUCGGGAAAAGGUGGAAUCCGUGCGAGUACCGAAAAACUGUCUGGACCAGUACGGAAAAAUGGUAGAAUCAGUGUGAGUACCGAAAAAUUAUUGAAUCCGGGCGAGUACCGGGAAAAGGUGGAAUCCGUGCGAGUACCGAAAAACUGUCCGGACCAGUACGGAAAAAUGGUAGAAUCAGUGUGAGUACCGGAAAAUUGUUGAAUCCGGGCGAGUACCGGGAAAAGGUGGAAUCCGUGCGAGUACCUUAAAACUUGUCCGGACUAGUACGGAAAAAUGGUAAAAUGAGUGUGAGUACCGGAACAUUAUUGAAUCCGGGCGAGUACCGGCAAAAGGUGGAGUCCAUGCGAGUGCCGAAAAACUGUCCGGACCAGUACAGAAAAAUGGUAGAAUGAGUGUGAGUACCGGAACAUUCUUGAAUCUGGGCGAGUACCGGCAAAAGGUAGAAUCCGUGCGAGUGCCGAAAAACUGUCCAGACCAAUACGGAAAAAUGGUAGAAUCAGUGUGAGUACCGGAAAAUUGUUGAAUCCGGGCGAGUACCAGGAAAAGGUGGAAUCCAUGCGAGUUACUUAAAACUGUCCGGACGAGUACCGAAAAAUGGUAGAAUCAGUGUGAGUACCGGAACAUUGUUGAAUUCGGGCAAGUACCGGCAAAAGGUGGAAUCCGU